rnacentral:rRNA from 1 species
UGAAUACGAGACGCUAAGGCGUCGAAGUAGUGUAUGUUAUACUUCCAAGAAAAGCUUGCACUGUCAUAGAUAAAAAACGCCUGUACCAUAACCGACACAGGUGGGUAGGUAGAGUAUACUAAGGGGCGCGAGAUAACUCUCUCUAAGGAACUCGGCAAAAUAACUCCGUAACUUCGGGAGAAGGAGUGCCUUAUUCGUAAGGUUGCAAUAACAAGAUCCAAGCAACUGUUUAUCAAAAACACAGGUCUCCGCUAAGUCGUAAGACGAUGUAUGGGGGCUGACGCCUGCCCAGUGCCAGAAGGUUAAAGAAGUUGGUUAGCAAUUGCGAAGCUGAUAACUGAAGCCCUGGUGAACGGCGGCCGUAACAAUAACGGUCCUAAGGUAGCGAAAUUCCUUGUCGGGUAAGUUCCGACCCGCACGAAAGGCGUAAUGAUUUGGAUACUGUCUCGGAGAGGGGCUCGGUGAAAUAGACUUGUCUGUGAAGAUGCGGACUACCUGCACCAGGACAGAAAGACCCUAUGAAGCUUUACUGUAACUUGAAAUUGAAAUUGGACUUUAUUCGCGCAGUAUAGGUGGGAGGCGUUGAUUAUAAUCUUGUGGGAUUAUUGGAGCCAUCAGUGAGAUACCACUCUUGUAAUGUUAGAUUUCUAACUUUGAAUCAUUAUCUGUCAAAGAACAGUUUCAGGCGGGCAGUUUGACUGGGGCGGUCGCCUCCUAAACGGUAACGGAGGCGUACAAAGGUUUCCUCUGAACGGUUAGAAAUCGUAUCUAGAGUGUAAAGGCAUAAGGAAGCUUGACUGUGAGACCUACAAGUCGAGCAGGGACGAAAGUCGGUCUUAGUGAUCUGACGGUACUGAGUGGAAAGGCCGUCACUCAACGGAUAAAAGUUACUCUAAGGAUAACAGGCUGAUCUCCCCCAAGAGUUCACAUCGACGGGGAGGUUUGGCACCUCGAUGUCGGCUCAUCGCAUCCUGGGGCGGUAGUACGUCCCAAGGGUUGGGCUGUUCGCCCAUGAAAGCGGUACGCGAGCUGGGUUCAGAACGUCGUGAGACAGUUCGGUCCAUAUCCGGUGUAGGCGUUAGAAUAUUGAGAGGAGCCUUCUUUAGUACGAGAGGACCGAGAAGGACAUACCUCUGGUGUACCAGUUAUCGUGCCAACGGUAAACGCUGGGUAGCUAUGUAUGGAGUGGAUAACCGCUGAAAGCAUCUAAGUGGGAAGCCCACCUCAAGAUAAGUAUUCUCAC